GGAGAAACCUGCCACGUAUGAUGACGUCAAGAAGGUGGUGAAGCAGGCAUCCAAGAGCCCACUAAAGGGCAUCCUGGGCUACACUGAAGACCAGGUUGUCUCCUGCAACUUCAACAGCAACUCCCACUCUUCCACCUUUGACACUGGGGCUGAAUUGCUCUCAGUAACAACUUUGUAAGGCUCAUUUCCUGGUAUGACAAUGAAUAUAGGAACAGGGUGGUAGACCUCAUGGCCUACAUGGUCUCCAAGGAGUAAGAAGCCCUCGACCACCCACCCCAGUGAGGACACUGAGAGCAAGAAAGAGGCUGUUGGUUGCUGUCCUCACUCGGCCCCCAAUACUGAGCAUGUCUCACGAUUUCCAUCCCAGACCCCUUUAAUAGCAGGAGGGAACUAGGGAGCCCUACCUAUUCCCUUGAAUAUCAUCAAUAAAGUUCCCUGCACCCACCUCAAAAA
rnacentral:lncRNA from 1 species